UCAAAUGGAGAGUUUGAUCCUGGCUCAGGAUGAACGCUGGCGGCAUGCCUAAUACAUGCAAGUCGAACGGACGGAAGGGAAGCUUGCUUUCUGGAAGUCA
rnacentral:rRNA from 1 species